GAUGAACGCUAGCUACAGGCUUAACACAUGCAAGUCGAGGGACCGGCGCACGGGUGAGUAACACGUAUCCAACCUGCCCUUUACUCGGGGAUAGCCUUUCGAAAGAAAGAUUAAUACCCGAUGUAAAGGAUGGGGAUGCGUUCCAUUAGGUUGUUGGUGAGGUAACGGCUAACCAAGCCUUCGAUGGAUAGGGGUUCUGCUAGGAAGCGCCCCCGCAUUUGAACUGAGACCCAGACCAAACUCGGACGGGAGGCAGCAGUGAGGAAUAUUGGGCAAUGGGCGGUAGCCUGAACCAGCCAAGUAGCGGGAAGGAGGAAGGCUUAUGAGACGUAAACUUCUUGUAUAUAAGAAAAUGUAUUAUAUGAAUAAGGAUCGGCUAACUACGUGCCAGCAGCCGCGGUAAUAC
rnacentral:rRNA from 1 species